GUUUGUUUAACUAUGGCAAUAGAAAGUUGUUUGGUUUAGUUGCAUAAAAUAAUUUUAUGUUUUUGUAGCUUUAGCUGUACUACAUGGGAUUAGCAAUUAAUUUUUUAUUAGAAUUCGUGUUUUGUAAGAAUACUUUAAUGAAAGGGGAUAGGACACAGUGCCAGCAUCUGCGGUUAAUCUGUUUUCUUUGCUUUCUUAUAGGUUUAAUUAUACAUUUAUAUAUAAAGUUGGGUGAAAUCUUUUUGGUUUUGUAUUUUAUGUAUAUUUUUAAUAAAUGCUGUAUAUGACAGGGAUUAGAUACCCCAUUAAUGUUGUGUUGUAGUGUUUACCUUAGUUUUAUAACUAAAAUAGUUUGGCAGCGAGUAAAUUCGUUCAGGGGAAGGUGUGUUAUAAAGGAUGAUCCGCCAAAUAAUUAACUUAGUUUAUGUUGGUGUAUAUCUGGUUUGAUAUUAUUGCUUUAAUAGCUUAAUUUGUGUAUAAUAAGUAUUUAAGCCAAGUCUAUGUGCUGCUUAUCUAAGUUUUCAUGCGUUACUUUAAUAAAGUCAAAUUUGUAAUAGUUUGAUAUUUAGGACUUGAUAGUAAUAUAAAUUAAUUAUGUUUGUGUGAAAAUGGUUUAGCUCGGGUACACACCGCCCGUCACCCUCGAUAAUCGUUGAGGUAAGUCGUAACAAGGUAACUUUAAAUGAAUUUGAAGUUAAUUACUAAGAAGGCUUGGUUAGUGGUG
rnacentral:ncRNA from 1 species